CUCACUCCCCAGCAAUAGCACCGGCGUCCUCACCAGUAUCACCACCGACGUCGGACCUCCGGCGUCCCCCCAGCAGCGGCGUCUCUCUGUUCUCGCCCUUCUUCAGGUAAAUGUUACUUUAGUUUUUUGAAAAUGCUCCGACGUCUCCCUGUUCUCUUUUAACGAUUUGAUUUCGUGCAUCUUUGAACGGAUUUUUUGACAUUGUUUCACUUGCUUUCGUGCAUCUCCGAAGUCCUAUUCAAUAUUUAAGUUUACAGUUAAGAACAUUGAUUCAAUUGGUUUACCAGUAGAAUAUAAGUGAAUAUUUAGUUUUCAUGUUUAUUGGAGCAAUUUCUCGAAGAUGGAAGCCACUGUCUUUAUAUGUAUAGCUCAAACUACUACUUAUACUUUUGUCCCCUAAACUUGAACCAUUCUUUUCUGUUUGAAAAAUUUUGUGGUUAUUAUGAUUUUUUACUCUUUCUUGAAAUAUGAUAUAUGUACCCUUAAAAUUUUCAAUUAAUAUAUAUUUAAUAGGGAAUGUAAUGUUACAAUUAAGACUCUAACCAUAUAAAACUAAUGUUACAAUUAAUGUUGAUUAGUUGUUUGCUUUUGUGUUUUUAUUUCUUUUGUAAUCAGAGAUGGUCUUUUUCAAAACUAAUUAGUUGUUUGUUUGGGCAGAUAGAAGAACAUUCUAACUAAAAAACUAAUAGAACUCGCCUUAAGAGAAUAGAUGGUGAGAUCACGGUAUCAACAACUUUACAUUUUCAUACUUUCCACAUUGUGAGAUUCUUGAUAUGUUGUUAGUUACAUGUUCAUACUUGACAAGAGAGUUUCACCAAAGCAAUCCAAACUUUUCUUGAACUACAAUAAUGCAGAAUUCACCAUAAUUUUAUCUACCCUCACUUGAAAACAAGUAGUUUGCAUUAUUCUUCACAAAUGGGUAAAAGAGCUUGUCAAUAAGAGCUACUCCAACCUUGUUAUAAAUGAAUGACCUUAUUUUUAGUUUUAUCUUUUCUUGUAUUGCUACACCGCUACCCUAACAUCUUCUUCUCUAUUACGUUCAUAUUUUGUACAUAUGGAUGCUCUACUGCUCAAAAUGAUGUUCCAUAUAACAUAGCUGGCCUUAUAGGCAUCUUAUAAAAUUUUCCUUUUAAAGGGUUUCUUUAUUAAAAAAAUUUGACAGCAAUGAUAAUAACCCAUAAUUGAUGGCUAAGAUUGCCGAUGAGAGUUUACUUUAUUAGGGUACCCUACCAUCACACAUAUUAAGUAGAUGAAUCAACUAUACAUAUUAACUGCUUUUAAGACCUAAAAUUGAUGUAUUUAUCAUUUGAUUACCACUGUAUGGGCUUAUGUUCUCUACCCUCUCUCUCUUUUUGCUUCCGAACAUCGCCUUAGUAUGUUUCAUCUGAAUAUCAAAUUCAUAACUUAUUCUCUUUGUAAACAUUUGUUGACUGUUAUCAAUCUUCUUUCACUAGCACUAACAACAUUGUAUGAUUGUUUGUGAUUAUGGAAGUGCUAUUCUUUUAAGUAUCAAGUGGUAAAAAGUCACAAAUGUAGUUGAUCUCACUAUUUUAUUUUCUUUCAUUUGUUUAAAACAUACAACCUAGUUUGUCAUAGUUAAAGACUUGGAUUUUACUGAUGGAUGCAAAUAUCACUAGUUCUUGUGAGGGAAUGAGUAUUCAAGACUUGAAUUUUAGUGAUGAUGAGAAAUCUCCUAUAGUUGAUGAAGGAUAUGGGGUUUCAAAUGAUCAGUAUGAAGAGGAUAUAAAUUGCGAGGUAGAUCCAAAAAUUGGAAUGACAUUUGACACAACAAAAGAAGCAUAUGAUUUUUAUAAUACAUAUGCAAGGCGAGUUGGCUUCAGUGUUAGGAUAUUAAGAACAAACAAGAAUAGAUCUGACAAAAAUAAAAUCCAACGGCAAGCACUAGUUUGUUCAUGUGAGGGCACUUCCAAAAAAAUCAAGACACCUGAAAAAAAAAAGAGAUAUUCGGUGAUUUGACUAUAAGGCAAAAUUUGUGAUUAAAUGGGUUUCCGACGAUAAGUAUAGACUAAUUGAGUUCAAAUCGGAGCAUACUCAUGAUCUUGUCCCACUUCAGCAUUCCCAUUAUUUGAGGUCUCAAAGGAAAAUCGAUUUUUCACAAGCUGAACUUAUGAAGAAAAUGCGUUCCUCUGGAAUAAAACAAGGACAAAUUUUCUCCUACAUGUGUGAAGAAGUUGGUGGAGCCCAAAACCUUAAUUUCACAAAAGCUGAUUGUAACAAUUUAUUGCAAAGAACACGGGCUAAAUUUUUCAAGACUGGUGAUGCCGAAUGUCUCCUUGAAUACUUCAAACAAAAGAAAGGGGAAAACAAACAUUUUUUUUACUCUUUACGAACCCAUGAAGAUGGUGAGAUAUGCAGUGUAUUUUUUUGUGAUGCAAAAUCGAGACGAGAUUAUGGGAUAUUUGGUGAUGUGAUAUGUUUCGAUACAACAUUUUAAACAAACAAUUAUGAUAUGUUAUGUGCACCAAUUGUUGGCAUCAACCAUCAUGGGCAAACAUCACUUUUUGGAUGUGGUCUACUAGAUGGUGAAACAAUUGAUGCGGUAAUGUGGUUAUUUACUACUUUCUUUGAGGCUAUGGGAGGAAAAAAAUCGAAAAGCAUAUUUACAGAUCAGUCUGCAGCUAUAUCAAGUGUUGUUGAUGCGAUAUUGUCUGAAGCCCACCAUGGAUUGUGCUUGUGGCAUUUAUGUCAAAAUGUUGCAAAGAAUUUGAGUAAUAAUGGAUAUAAAACAUUUGCACCACAAUUCAAAGCUUGUAUUUACAAUCCAGAAACAGUUGAAGAAUUUGAACAAAGUUGGGACAAAUUGCUUGAAGAUAAUGGGCUAAGAGGUAAUGAGUGGUUGCAAAGAACAUAUAAGUUGAGAAAGAAAUGGGCUCAAGUGUAUAGUCAUGCUCACUUUUGUGCUGGCAUGACUAUUUCACAGAGAAGUGAAAGUAUCAAUAAGUUUUUGAAGGAUUAUUUUAAUCAUGGUAGAAUUGUUCUUCGGGAGUUUGUAAGUCUAUACUCUAGGGCCAUGGAUAAUCGCCGUGAAAAAGAAAGGGAGGCUGAACAUUUAACACAACAAACAACACCUAAUUUUAUUUGUAAUUGGUCUGUAGAGCGUGAAGCAGCAUGAAAAUAUACAAAAAAAAUAUUUUAUUGGUUUCAAGAAUGUAUUAAGCAAACUAUUGAGUUGUCAUUGGAAUUGGAGAAUGAUGAUGGAACUAUUCGUACUUAUAGAGCUAAAGAGAUUGAAGGUCGAAAAAGGAUUUGCACACUUACAUACAACCACUUGGAACAAACAGUGUCAUGCACAUGUAGAAAAUUUGAGUUCGAUGGAAUCCUUUGUUCGCAUGCAUUGAAGUUGUUCCGCCACUUAGAGUUCAAAAGUUUACCUCCUGAAUACUAUUUGAAAAGAUGGACACGAGCAGCUACAUAUGAAGUUAUUUGUGAUCCCAUGGGAGAGAUAAUUUCAAAUGACAACGAUCCAAUGCUAACAGCUCAUUAUAGUGAGUUAUCACAUAUUUCACAAAGAAUUGUGUCGAAGGGUUCAAGGUGUAUUGAUGUUUUUUCAUUAAGCAAAUCACUAUUGCUAGAAGUACAAGCAAAAAUUGACGCCUUUAUAGCCUCUGAUGAAGAUGUGAACAAGAGUAUUCCAAUCAACACACAUCAUAAAUCGGUAUCAAACAUGCAGCAGGAGGCACAAUUGAGAGAGCCAACAAAAAGACGCUUUAAAGGCCAAUCUAGCAAAAGAAUUAAAGGUCCAUUGGAAAGCAAAUCACGAAAGAAGAAUUCACCAAAAGUAAUGGGUCAGUUACUAACCAAACUUACUUGUAUACUUGCAUUAAUAUAUUCAUUUACAGGAUUUUAUGUAUGUGAUAAAGAAAAAUAACACGACGUCUUUUUAAGAUGGCAUGACAGGUAAUAGGGAUGCAGCCCACGUCAUGACUGGAGGAGCCUUAAACUCUAAUCAUGUUGUAGAGGCGGGGGUGGUUGGAAUGGCGCAACAAGGAUAUUAUAACAAUAAUAGUUGGCAAUGGAUGCAUAUAAGAGACACAUUUCCACAUGCAAGCUUAUCACUUCAAGGCUUGUUUCAACCGUGGAAUGUUACGUCUCAACAUAGGGAAUUCCUCUCAAAUGAUUUCUUAAUGUCACAGGAGGUACAUCAAUUCUAUAUGUAUUAAUAACCUAUUUUAACUUGUAGGUCUUUAUAUUGAGAACACUUUUCUAAUAGACUUGUUAACAUAACCCAUGAUAUAUAUACAUAUAUAGGCUUCUUCAUUACAAAUGUUUGCAUCUCCGACAAUAACUACAAGCCAACAAGUUGUGAGUUCAUCAACAUCAAACAUUAUGAAGUAAUUGACAUUGUAAAAAGCAGUGGUUCACUAAGUGUAAGUUACUAAGUAUAAGGUUAGUUUGUUUGAAAACUCAAAAAUUCCUUGGAGAAUCCUUCUUUAGCUUUGGUUUUGUUCAGAUUUUGAAGUUGCUAGUGUGAACUAAACAACGCAUCCUAAGCUCAAUUGGGCGAGGCCACGGAAAAAGAAACCUUAUUUUGCCAUGCAGCGUAAGUUCGUGCCUAUCCGCAACUUGUUUGUUGCAAAUUUUUCAUACGAAAUCACGGCUGAGGAUCUUAAGGAGUUUUUCAAUUCUGAAAAUGCCAAUGUUGUUUUUGCGGAAAUUAUAUUUCAUGAAAAUCCAAGGUCUGUUGGGUAUGGAUUUGUAUUCUCCAAUUCCAAGGAGGCUGAAGCUACUCUCACUGCUUUUCAAGGAAAGUUAUGUAUGGGAAGACCAAUUUGAGUGGCUCCUAGCAGAAGAUUUUUGAGACAAGCAACGAAAAUGAGUACUCAAUUGAAGAAUACGUCAAAUAAACCAAACCCUGAUGUUGAACAAGCAGAAGCCCUUGAAGCUUGAUGGUGAAUUUUCUUGGACAGUUUAGGUUUUCAGUGUUUUCUUUUGAAGU